rnacentral:rRNA from 1 species
AGGGUUCGAUCUGGCUCAGGAUGAACGCUGGCGGCGUGCCUAACACAUGCAAGUCGAACGGAGUAAUUAAGCGGAAGUUUCGGAUGGAAGCUUAGCUACUAGUGGCGGACGGGUGAGUAACGCGUGGGCAACCUGCCCGUGUACCCGGGGGAUAACACUUAGAAAUAGGUGCUAAUACCGCAUAAGCGCACGGUCUCGCAUGAGACAGUGUGAAAAACUCCGGUGGUACAGGAUGGGACCCGCGUCUGAUUAGCUAGUUGGUGGGGUAGAGGCCUACCAAGGCGACGAUCAGUAGCCGGCCUGAGAGGGUGACCGGCCACAUUGGGACUGAGACACGGCCCAAACUCCUACGGGAGGCAGCAGUGGGGAAUAUUGCACAAUGGGGGAAACCCUGAUGCAGCGACGCCGCGUGAGUGAAGAAGUAUUUCGGUAUGUAAAGCUCUAUCAGCAGGGAAGAAAAUGACGGUACCUGGCUAAGAAGCCCCGGCUAACUACGUGCCAGCCGCCGC